rnacentral:rRNA from 1 species
AGAGUUUGAUCAUGGCUCAGAACGAACGCUGGCGGCAGGCUUAACACAUGCAAGUCGAGCGCCCCGCAAGGGGAGCGGCAGACGGGUGAGUAACGCGUGGGAAUCUACCCAUCUCUACGGAACAACUCCGGGAAACUGGAGCUAAUACCGUAUACGUCCUUUUGGAGAAAGAUUUAUCGGAGAUGGAUGAGCCCGCGUUGGAUUAGCUAGUUGGUGGGGUAAUGGCCUACCAAGGCGACGGUCCAUAGCUGGUCUGAGAGGAUGAUCAGCCACAUUGGGACUGAGACACGGCCCAAACUCCUACGGGAGGCAGCAGUGGGGAAUAUUGGACAAUGGGCGCAAGCCUGAUCCAGCCAUGCCGCGUGAGUGAUGAAGGCCCUAGGGUUGUAAAGCUCUUUCAACGGUGAAGAUAAUGACGGUAACCGUAGAAGAAGCCCCGGCUAACUUCGUGCCAGCAGCCGCGGUAAUACGAAGGGGGCUAGCGUUGUUCGGAAUUACUGGGCGUAAAGCGCACGUAGGCGGAUAUUUAAGUCAGGGGUGAAAUCCCGGGGCUCAACCCCGGAACUGCCUUUGAUACUGGGUAUCUCGAGUCCGAGAGAGGUGAGUGGAAUUCCGAGUGUAGAGGUGAAAUUCGUAGAUAUUCGGAGGAACACCAGUGGCGAAGGCGGCUCACUGGCUCGGUACUGACGCUGAGGUGCGAAAGCGUGGGGAGCAAACAGGAUUAGAUACCCCAGUAGUCC